rnacentral:rRNA from 1 species
GUUUGAUCCUGGCUCAGAGCGAACGUUAGCGGCGCGCCUAACACAUGCAAGUCGCACGAGAAAGGGGGCAACCCCGGUACAGUGGCGCACGGGUGAGUAACACGUGGAUUACCUGCCCUGGAGUGGUGGAUAACCUGCCGAAAGGUGGGCUAAUACAGCAUGAGACCACGCGGUUUCGAUCGUGAGGUCAAAGCGGGCUUCUGUUCACAAGCUCGCGCUCUAGGAUGGGUCCGCGGCCCAUCAGCUAGUUGGUAGGGUAACGGGCCUACCAAGGCUACGACGGGUAGCUGGUCUGAGAGGAUGGCCAGCCACACUGGAACUGAGACACGGUCCAGACUCCUACGGGAGGCAGCAGUGGGGAAUCUUGCGCAAUGGACGAAAGUCUGACGCAGCGACGCCGCGUGGGUGACGAAGGCC